GAGGUCAUGGGUGUUCUGUUCGUGUAAGUACAUAUAUGCAAUAGCAAACCAAAAAGUUGACCGUAUUUUUAAUACCCGAAAAAUUCCAACUGAAAGUGAUUCUGCUAUAUCACUUGCUAAUCAUCUUCCACUAUUGAAGGAUGCCGGCAGUUUUGCAUCAAAGACCAAGCUCAGCUUCUGCUCUUCAGCCCAUAUCUCCACUAGGCCACCAUCUAUAUCAUUUUCAGCAUAUCCCCAGAUUACACUAUGGCUGUUGAAGUCUCCAACUAUUAUUCUUGUUUCUGUGGAUGCCAUCUUUUGAAGCUGGGUUUUCCCAAAAACUGGUUUGGUGGGGGCCAGAGCAAAAGAAAAUUACCAUAGAGGUACCUAAUGUUAUCACCGCAGAAAGUUGUGAUUUUUCUUCAGUCUUGUUUUACUCGUAGCUCUUGUAGGAAGGGACAAUUGAAACAAAUUGAAGAUAACAUACGACAUAUAGGUAUGAGUCGAGCAUCUUGUCCAUGGGUACCGGUUACCUACUUAUAGCAGAA